rnacentral:lncRNA from 1 species
UCCUUCUACAUAUGGAAGAACAACCCCAAGAUUGAAGACAAGAAGCAAUAGAGAGAUGCAGUACAACGAAAGCACAAGAUAUUUCACUACGUAAUUUUAUACACACAAUUAAUUAAUCAAAAUAUUUUUUAAUAUAGUAUAAGAGCAAGCGACAUAAUUACGAGUAAGAUUCAUAUGUAAGGUUGUUGGUGUUAUUGAACAAAGCUUUGUGUUGUACAAGCUUUUAUUAUUAUUUUUUUUUUGUUUUUUUGAUAGAUUUGUUGCAAUAUUUCUGUUUGUGGUUUAUGGAAUUUGUUGAUAUAUUGUAGUAACUGCCAGUUGUAAUUAUAAUGAAUUGAAAAAUUAGAGAAGUUUAUAUUUUUGUUUAGAACGUUUUUUCAAUACCAAAACUUAAUUAAGAACAAAAUAUUUGUAAAUUAAUGUUAGUAGGGUGUAGAUGUCUACGAAUAAGUAUUAAAGUGUCCUUUUGCUUCUAACGAAAAACAAUAAAUAAUUAUGUAUUUUAUGGGCAUUCCUUGACUGUUGCAUUUAUGAGAGUAUUUUUGUAUCUAUCUCUUGGUCUAUAGGCUAUCCUGUUUUUUUGGUCUUUUCGAAUAUUUAUUGUAUAUUAUGUUAGAUAAUAAAUAUUAAUUAUUAAAAAAU